UACGAAGGGGGCGAGCGUUGUUCGGAUUUACUGGGCGUAAAGGGCGCGCAGGCGGCUCAUUUUGUCAGGCGUGAAAGCCCCGGGCUUAACCUGGGACUGCGUUUGAUACGGAUGGGCUAGAGUUCGGGAGAGGAGAGUGGAAUUCCCAGUGUAGAGGUGAAAUUCGUAGAUAUUGGGAAGAACACCGGUGGCGAAGGCGGCUCUCUGGGACGGUACUGACGCUGAGACGCGAAAGCGUGGGGAGCGAACAGG
rnacentral:rRNA from 1 species